ensembl:lncRNA
CUAUCUCAACAGUAGAGGAAGUGUGUGUUAUCCGGUUUGUUCUGUAUGUUGCAGAGGAAAGCCACAUCACGUGGGCAGAGUACUCACUCAGGAAAUAACUCAAUCUGUAACUGCAUCUAAAAUAGGAAGAGGUAGCAGUGUUGCCAUGCAAGGUUUCCUCUGCGUCUCUUCGUUCCUUCUAAUAUGUCAACAUGAUUCAUUUGUAUCAAAAUGUCACAAUUAUUCACAAUAUUUCAAUUUUUCAUCAACUGUUUCAAAAUAAAUCUUAUUUUUAACUGUUUUAACAAUUGUCUUCUGAUUUUUUAAAACAUUAUUCACAUUGGCCUGUAUGUUAAUGCCAGCUGAAGAACUGAACCACCUGCGUUAGAAGGAAGUGUUAACGUGCACGUCUGUCUGCUUCUGCCCAUGUUGUGCUGUUAGCUAUUGGAAACGGAGAAUUAUCAAAAUAAUAUAAAUACAGCUAAAGAACAGCGCGUGAGAGGGAAUCUCUGAGAGACGACAUUAAAACAAAGUUUACUCACCUGUGCAAUGGCGAGUGAACUCUCCCCAAAUGUUUAUGGGGGUCCUCCUCCCCAGUCAGAUCUUAGACUCCUGCUGCUUGGGAGAGUCGGAGCUGGGAAAAGUACAGUAGGCAAAACCAUCCUGGGCAGCGAUAACUUCUGGAGUGAAGGAGGCAUGUGUGUGAAGAAGCAGGGUGGAAGGACCGUCACCGUGGUGGACACCCCGGGCUGGGACACUGUGAAGUACACGUCCACAUACAUCAAACAAGAAAUUAAGAAGUGUGACCCCAUGCCCUUCUUCUGGUGGUGCCCAUGGGCGACCCGCUCUCCUCCGCAGAAAGAAAGGCGAUUCGGUAUCACAUGGCGCUAUUGUCAGUUAGGGCAUGGAAGUUUACCAUGGUCUUGUUUGUCAGUGAGGCUGAGGAGAAAUGCACAUCCAUUGAACAAAAUCAGAUGAUCGGCAGAGCAAAAAGUAUUCUAGCGAAAUGUGGACACAGACACCAUCUCCUUGAGUGUGGCAAUUCUCCUCCCCAGAUUUCUGAGCUCCUGAUAAAGCUAGACGCCAUGGUAGCAGAAAACUGUGAAGAAUUCUUAAUCCCCCAAGUAUAUGAUGAACUGAUGGAGACUACAAUGCCAAGUGAAGUGACCGAGCUGAGAAGGAUGUAUGAAGACCGAGAGGACAGACUGAAACGGAAAUACAAAACAGAGUUGAAGGAAAAGGAAGAAGAGCUGAAGAAGUACAGAGAAGAAGAGAAGCCUAAAGAAAGGUUGAUGAAGAGGACAAGUAGCAGUCAACUACUCCCCCCCCCCACGCCCCCCCACCCCCCCCAGUAUAAGCACAGAGAAGAGGACGGGUCGGUAAUGGCUGACCAUCAGAAGGUGGACCUACAGGCCGUCAAGCAAGGAUACAGGGAAGAGGCCUUGUCUGUGGUGGGCCACUACGUCAAACCACUAAUAGUGAUUAUGACUGCUGUAGUGGGGGCACUCAUGGGAGCAGUUGCAGGUGCAGAACAUGGAACACUUGGCGCAUGUACUGGAAUUCCUAUAGGCAUUAUUUUGGCAGUUCUUGUGAGUUAUGCUGUCCGUGGAGCCGACACAGCAGCAAGGGAUAUUUCCAUCGCAGUCAAAGCCGAGGGAAAUGAAAGUCAGAGGAGAGAAGAGGGAGCAGGCUUCUUCUUAGAUUCUACAAAAUCUGAAAGAUUUGAUAAGGAUCAGUGACACUCUUUUGAAUGUCAACACUAUUCUAUUGCUACAGUGUGUAGUGUAUGGACUGUGCUGUAUGGACUGUGCUGUAUGGACUGUGCUGUAUGGACUCUCAUGGUUCACCUGACUUGACUGGCUGACCCCAGUGAAGAGACAGGACAGACUGCCCAGCAAACCGGGAACAUACCCAGAACAUAAGAAAGGGUUUUUAUACAAAAUUAGGACGUUCUCCUAACAUUCACAAAAACGCACAACAUCUGUAACAACCACCAUUCCCCAAACAACAUUCUCGUUAUGUUUCCUGGUAAUGUAAUAACACAAUGUACCAGCAAUGUUUUUUGAACAUACUGUUGCAACAAAAUGUAUACGCAAUGUUCUGGGAACGUUCUUGCAACAUCAGGCAAAUGUUUAUACAAACAUUGUAUAAUCAUCAGCACGACGGGACAGUUUUUGUGUUAUGAUAACAUUUACCGCAACCUAACAAAUGUUCUGGGAGUUUUCAGAGAAACAAUUUUGGUUUGUUAGACGCUCUUUCUCUCUCGCUCUCUCUCUCUCGCUCUCUCUCUCGCCCUCUCUCUCUCUCGCCCUCUCUCUCUCGCCCUCUCUCUCUCUCUCUCGCUCUCUCUCUCGCCCUCUCUCUCUCGCCCUCUCGCUCUCUCUCUCGCCCUGUUAUGAUAACAUUUGCCGCACCUAACAAAUGUUCUGGGAGUUUUCAGAGAAACAAUUUUGGUUUGUUAGACGCUCUUUCUCUCUCGCCCUCUCUCUCUCGCUCUCUCUCUCGCCCUCUCUCGCCUCUCUCGCUCUCUCUCUCUCGCCCUCUCUCUCUCGCCCUCUCUCUCUCGCCCUCUCUCUCUCGCUCUCUCUCUCGCCCUCUCUCGCCCUCUCCUCUCUCUCUCUCGCCCUCUCUCGCCCUCUCGCCCUCUCGCUCUCUCUCUCGCUCUCUCCCUCUCUCUCU